UACGAAGGGGGCGAGCGUUGUUCGGAAUCAUUGGGCGUAAAGCGCACGUAGGCGGUUCGUUAUGUCGGAUGUGAAAGCCCUUGGCUUAACCGAGGAAGUGCAUCCGAAACUGGCGAGCUAGAGUACUAAAGAGGAUCGCGGAAUUCCCGGUGUAGAGGUGAAAUUCGUAGAUAUCGGGAGGAACACCGGUGGCGAAGGCGGCGAUCUGGGUAGAUACUGACGCUGAGGUGCGAAAGCGUGGGGAGCAAACAGG
rnacentral:rRNA from 1 species